rnacentral:rRNA from 1 species
AUUGAACGCUGGCGGCAUGCCUUACACAUGCAAGUCGAACGGUAACAGGUCUUCGGAUGCUGACGAGUGGCGCACGGGUGAGUAAUACAUCGGAACGUGCCCGAUCGUGGGGGAUAACGAGGCGAAAGCUUUGCUAAUACCGCAUACGAUCUACGGAUGAAAGCGGGGGAUCUUCGGACCUCGCGCGGACGGAGCGGCCGAUGGCAGAUUAGGUAGUUGGUGGGAUAAAAGCUUACCAAGCCGACGAUCUGUAGCUGGUCUGAGAGGAUGAUCAGCCACCCUGGGACUGAGACACGGCCCAGACUCCUACGGGAGGCAGCAGUGGGGAAUUUUGGACAAUGGGCGAAAGCCUGAUCCAGCCAUGCCGCGUGCAGGAUGAAGGCCUUCGGGUUGUAAACUGCUUUUGUACGGAACGAAAAGCCUCUUUCUAAUAAAGAGGGGUCAUGACGGUACCGUAAGAAUAAGCACCGGCUAACUACGUG